rnacentral:rRNA from 1 species
UACGUAGGGUGCAAGCGUUGUCCGGAAUUAUUGGGCGUAAAGAGCUCGUAGGCGGUCUGUCGCGUCUGCUGUGAAAACUCAGGGCUUAACCCUGAGCUUGCAGUGGGUACGGGCAGACUAGAGUGCGGUAGGGGAGACUGGAAUUCCUGGUGUAGCGGUGAAAUGCGCAGAUAUCAGGAGGAACACCGGUGGCGAAGGCAGCUCGCUGGGACGUAACUGACGCUGAGACGCGAAAGCGUGGGGAGCAAACAGG